AGGUAAAGGCCCACCAAGGCGACGAUCGGUAGCCGGACUGAGAGGUUGAACGGCCACAUUGGGACUGAGACACGGCCCAGACUCCUACGGGAGGCAGCAGUGGGGAAUAUUGCACAAUGGGGGAAACCCUGAUGCAGCGACGCCGCGUGGAGGAAGAAGGUCUUCGGAUUGUAAACUCCUGUUGUUGAGGAAGAUAAUGACGGUACUCAACAAGGAAGUGACGGCUAACUACGUGCCAGCAGCCGCGGUAAAACGUAGGUCACAAGCGUUGUCCGGAAUUACUGGGUGUAAAGGGAGCGCAGGCGGGAAGACAAGUUGGAAGUGAAAUCUAUGGGCUCAACCCAUAAACUGCUUUCAAAACUGUUUUUCUUGAGUAGUGCAGAGGUAGGCGGAAUUCCCGGUGUAGCGGUGGAAUGCGUAGAUAUCGGGAGGAACACCAGUGGCGAAGGCGGCCUACUGGGCACCAACUGACGCUGAGGCUCGAAAGUGUGGGUAGCAAACAGGAUUAGAUACCCUGGUAGUCCACACCGUAAACGA
rnacentral:rRNA from 1 species